UAAUACGUAGGUGGCAAGCGUUGUCCGGAUUUACUGGGCGUAAAGGGCGUGCAGGCGGUCUGCUAAGUCUAGGGUGAAAGCUCCCGGCUCAACUGGGAGAGGUCCUUGGAUACUGGCGGACUUGAGGGAGGUAGAGGAGAGUGGAAUUCCCGGUGUAGUGGUGAUAUGCGUAGAUAUCGGGAGGAACACCAGUGGCGAAGGCGGCUCUCUGGGCCUUUCCUGACGCUGAGACGCGAAAGCGUGGGGAGCGAACCGGAUUAGAUACCCGGGUAGUCCACGCCGUAAACUAUGGACACUAGGUGUGGGGGGUAUCGACCCCUUCCGUGCCGAAGCUAACGCAAUAAGUGUCCCGCCUGGGGAGUACGGCCGCAAGGCUA
rnacentral:rRNA from 1 species